UCUCCCUUUUCUCUUUCUUUUUUUUUUUCUUUUUUUCUUUUACAAUCUUUAAACUUUGAUUACUUCUCAACCGGUGAGAAUUUUUAGGUGUUGUUUGCAGCAAAUCAAAGAGCACGGCGAGAUCUACAAGUGGGUGUAAGCAAUUUCAGCUUUGGUGCACCCUAGGAUUUUCGAAAUCUAUGGUUCAAAUUGGGGGUUUUCAUCAUUUUGGAGGAUUUGAAAUUCUUAAGUGAAGAGGAGAAAGGGAUGACAUAGAUGAAGGGAAAAGAUGGUGAUGUUAAGGUCACUGUGGUUGAUCCAAAGGGUAAACAUUAUAACAUGACAUUGAAGAGGUGGGCACAUUCUCCUCUCGUUCUUAUUAAUGAGUGGAAAGAUUUGGUUCGGAAUAACCAACUUGAAGUAGAACGUGAUUGCAUUGAAUUAUGGAGCUUUCGAGUUAAUUCUCAGUUGCGUUUUGCUGUUAAUAUCAAGUGAUCGAUCAUCAUCAUGCUCAUGCCAGUGUAUAUAUAUAUACAAGUACACGUAGUCUCCAAUUAUUGUGUUUCUUGUUUUCUUCUAGUUUUUCUUUUCCUUUCUUUAUGAUUUUACUACGCAGGAACUUAGGGUAUGUAUUUCUCCAUUGACUAUUGAAUACCGGCCAGUCAUGACCAUCACUGUUCUCAAAAUAACUAUCUAUCAAUGGAAGUCCAUGUACAAAUUAAGUGGUACUAGGUUUAUAUAUAAUAUGCCUGUGGAAUUCCUUUUCUUUU